rnacentral:lncRNA from 1 species
UUUUCUUAAGGGAAGAAGUCCUUUUUGAAUGAAGGAAAUGCCUUCCUAUUUAUAGAGUUUUCCCUGCCACCGCUGAGCUGCUUCUUUGCAAGGCUCAACAGCUGACCAAACCCUUCAGCAUGGGUUUGGUCACUUGGUCAAGUAGCUUAGUCACCUCGUUAAGCUUGACUCACCAAGGCUAGUUGUGAGCUAUGGGAACAACUAUGGUGAGCUACUCUUGAAAAGACUUUGGUGGGCUACUUGAAGUGAGGUCAUGCAUGACUUCAUGGUUUCUUGAUGGCUAAGUUAAUUCUUGGUGCACCAAUGAGCACACAUGUGGCACCGCUAAGCUGUCUGCUUGAGCAGCUUUGACUGUGCUGACUGAUAUGUGUUUUGGUGCUUGCUGACCUGGUCAGGUGUCUGGUUCACCGCUGAGCACACAUGUGGCACCAUGGAGCUUCCUCCUUGAGCAGAUUGGGCUUGUGUCAAGCUUAUGUCUGACCAUGCCAAGCUUUUGUUCUGACCGUGUCAAGCUUUGUCUGGUUCUAGGUUGAGCGGUCAAGCAAAUUCACUAAGCUACCUGCUUGAGCAUCUUGGUCUGUGCAGGUUGGUUUGACUGAGCCAGGUUGGGUCUGAUUGUGCCAGGCUGGUGUCCAGGUUAGCUCAGCGUAGCUUGGUCCACGCUAAGCUGUCUACUUUAGCAUCUUGAGUUUGACUUCUUUUUCUUCUUGUACCAUGAGUCUUUAGUCUCUUUUAUUUUUCUUUCUAAAUCCUACAAAACACAUUAAAGAGAAAUAGAAACACAAAUAUACAAGAUUGUGAUAUUUUAUCCAAAAAGUAUUGUUUUUCAGUUGGUUUUUCUCAAUUAUGCUUAAGAUAAGUGCCAUAAAAGUGUAUGAUAUUUAGGUAUGUUUGGCACUUAUCACUCCCCAAGGCUUGUUGUUGGCUAUGGGACUAGCUAUGGUGAGCUACUCCUGAAAAGCCUAUGAUGAGCUACUUGAAGUGAGGUCAUGCAUGACUUCAUGGUUUCUUGAUGGCUAAGUUAAUUCUGGGUGCAUAUCGCUGAGCACACAUGUGGCACCGCUAAGCUGGCUGCUUGAGCAGCUUUGACCGUGCUGACUAAGACGUGGCUUGGUGCUUGCUGACCUGAUCAGGUGUCUGGUUCACUGUUGAGCACACAUAUGGCACGGCUGAGCUGCAUGCUUGAGCAACUUGGGAGUGUGUCAGGCUUGUGUCUGACCGUGCCAAGCUUGUGUUCUUACCGUGUCAGGCUUUGUCUGGUGCUAGGAUGUGCGGUCAAGCAGGUCCGCUAAGCUGCAUGCUUGAGCAACUUGGUCUGUGCCAGUUGGGUCUGAUCGUACCAGGCUGGUGUCCAGGACAGCUCAGUGUAGCUUGGUCCACGCUAAGCUGUCUGCUUGAGCACCUUGAGUUUGACUUCUUUUUCUUCUUAGACCAUGAGUCUUUAUUCUCUUUUCUUUUUCUUUCUAAAUCCUACAAAACACAUUAAAGAGAAAUACAAACACAAAUAUACAAGAUUGUGAUAUUUUAUCCAAAAAAUAUUGUCUUAAGUUGGUUUUUCUCAAUUAUUCUUAAGAUAAGUGCCAUAAAAGUGUGUGAAAUUUAGGUAUGUUUGGCACUUAUUAGUGGCGCUAUUUGUUCAUAAACAAGAUGUUGCAACAAUUCUAGGAUGGAGAUGAUGCAAGACAUGGAUCCCUUCUUAAUACACUUGCCCACCUUAACCGUAAGGUAAUAAUUCUAAGCAUCUCUUCUACAUACUAUCAUUUUCCAUCUCAUGUUACCAACACCCUCCAAAAUCCUUGUCUCUACAACCAGCUUACUACCACCAAAACCCACAACCACUUAUCUCAUUUUCUCCUUUCCCAUAGUGGCCAAAAAGCAACCUCCCCAAAAUCACCCCCACAAUUAAAUUAUCUACCAUCUUAACAUUAUUUUUAUUAACUUUUCACCUUUAUUAUACAUGAACUCAAUAAUCAUCUCAUAGCAUCACCAGAACCAAUCCGAAAAUCAUUAAAAAGAUAAAGAAAAUAGAAAUAAAAUUCAGCAAUCAUUGGCUCCUCGUUGUCAACCGAUGAAAUGUCAUUGGCAACUACAACAAACUUAGUUGUGUCCACCGUCAAGUGAUGUAGAAAAACGACAGAGUCUAUCUCAUAUGGAUAGAGGAUAAACAUAUUUUUUUGACAUGAACAAUAUUUUGAAGGAAGAAGGUUAAUUGUUCUGAAUAGCAUAGCAAAAAAUGUUUGAAUAUGUAUUAUGCACCAAUUUUUGAAAAGAUAUUGGAUGGAUCUGAGAAGAAGAUGGAAGAAAAGUUGAUUUGGGAAGAGCGGAAAAUAGAUAGACCACAACCUCCAUCCACAAACCUCAACAAAUGAACAUAUUUAUCUUCAUCUACGUUGUUGAACCGUCUUGAUUUUUUUAAACCAAUAAUGGGUUCCAAUUCCAUGCUCAGCCUAAUGCACCUCUUCCAGCAACUACCUUCCAUCUUCAACAGUACCCACUGCUGCCAACAACUUCGAUUUUUAGUACAUGGGCUUCUUAUUGUUGGGUCGAAGUUGCUGCCUCAAGGAGAGAAAUGUUUUUCAAUAUUGUUGAAAGUGCAUAUACAGUGGUCAUUAAUGUGAACAAAUUUUUGGUGCCUUAGAUAAUUAUUAACCUAGACAAUGAUUUGAUUUUUUUCUCCUCAUCCAAUAUUUGGACCCAAUCUUAUGUUUGAGGACAAAAUCAAAUGUGAUGGAGAAGAAAGUGACAUCCUUUC